rnacentral:rRNA from 1 species
GUGACUGCGUACCUUUUGUAUAAUGGGUCAGCGACUUAUAUUCUGUAGCAAGGUUAACCGAAUAGGGGAGCCGGAGGGAAACCGAGUCUUAACCGGGCGUUAAGUUGCAGGGUAUAGACCCGAAACCCGGUGAUCUAGCCAUGGGCAGGUUGAAGGUUGGGUAACACUAACUGGAGGACCGAACCGACUAAUGUUGAAAAAUUAGCGGAUGACCUGUGGCUGGGGGUGAAAGGCCAAUCAAACCGGGAGAUAGCUGGUUCUCCCCGAAAGCUAUUUAGGUAGCGCCUCGUGAAUUCAUCUCCGGGGGUAGAGCACUGUUUCGGCUAGGGGGCCAUCCCGGCUUACCAACCCGAUGCAAACUGCGAAUACCGGAGAAUGUUAUCACGGGAGACACACGGCGGGUGCUAACGUCCGUCGUGAAGAGGGAAACAACCCAGACCGCCAGCUAAGGUCCCAAAGUCAUGGUUAAGUGGGAAACGAUGUGGGAAGGCCCAGACAGCCAGGAUGUUGGCUUAGAAGCAGCCAUCAUUUAAAGAAAGCGUAAUAGCUCACUGGUCGAGUCGGCCUGCGCGGAAGAUGUAACGGGGCUAAACCAUGCACCGAAGCUGCGGCAGCGACGCUGAUGCGUUGUUGGGUAGGGGAGCGUUCUGUAAGCCUGCGAAGGUGGCCUGUGAGGGUUGCUGGAGGUAUCAGAAGUGCGAAUGCUGACAUAAGUAACGAUAAAGCGGGUGAAAAGCCCGCUCGCCGGAAGACCAAGGGUUCCUGUCCAACGUUAAUCGGGGCAGGGUGAGUCGACCCCUAAGGCGAGGCCGAAAGGCGUAGUCGAUGGGAAACGGGUUAAUAUUCCCGUACUUGGUGUUACUGCGAAGGGGGGACGGAGAAGGCUAUGUUGGCCGGGCGACGGUUGUCCCGGUUUAAGCGUGUAGGUGUGUGUUCCAGGUAAAUCCGGUUCACUUUAACACUGAGGCGUGAUGACGAGGCACUACGGUGCUGAAGCAACAAAUGCCCUGCUUCCAGGAAAAGCCUCUAAGCAUCAGGUAACAUCAAAUCGUACCCCAAACCGACACAGGUGGUCAGGUAGAGAAUACCAAGGCGCUUGAGAGAACUCGGGUGAAGGAACUAGGCAAAAUGGUGCCGUAACUUCGGGAGAAGGCACGCUGACAUGUAGGUGAAGUGAUUUACUCAUGGAGCUGAAGUCAGUCGAAGAUACCAGCUGGCUGCAACUGUUUAUUAAAAACACAGCACUGUGCAAACACGAAAGUGGACGUAUACGGUGUGACGCCUGCCCGGUGCCGGAAGGUUAAUUGAUGGGGUCAGCGCAAGCGAAGCUCCUGAUCGAAGCCCCGGUAAACGGCGGCCGUAACUAUAACGGUCCUAAGGUAGCGAAAUUCCUUGUCGGGUAAGUUCCGACCUGCACGAAUGGCGUAAUGAUGGCCAGGCUGUCUCCACCCGAGACUCAGUGAAAUUGAACUCGCUGUGAAGAUGCAGUGUACCCGCGGCAAGACGGAAAGACCCCGUGAACCUUUACUAUAGCUUGACACUGAACAUUGAGCCUUGAUGUGUAGGAUAGGUGGGAGGCUUUGAAGUGUGGACGCCAGUCUGCAUGGAGCCGGCCUUGAAAUACCACCCUUUAAUGUUUGAUGUUCUAACGUGGACCCGUGAUCCGGGUUGCGGACAGUGUCUGGUGGGUAGUUUGACUGGGGCGGUCUCCUCCUAAAGAGUAACGGAGGAGCACGAAGGUUGGCUAAUCCUGGUCGGACAUCAGGAGGUUAGUGCAAUGGCAUAAGCCAGCUUGACUGCGAGCGUGACGGCGCGAGCAGGUGCGAAAGCAGGUCAUAGUGAUCCGGUGGUUCUGAAUGGAAGGGCCAUCGCUCAACGGAUAAAAGGUACUCCGGGGAUAACAGGCUGAUACCGCCCAAGAGUUCAUAUCGACGGCGGUGUUUGGCACCUCGAUGUCGGCUCAUCACAUCCUGGGGCUGAAGUAGGUCCCAAGGGUAUGGCUGUUCGCCAUUUAAAGUGGUACGCGAGCUGGGUUUAGAACGUCGUGAGACAGUUCGGUCCCUAUCUGCCGUGGGCGCUGGAGAACUGAGGGGGGCUGCUCCUAGUACGAGAGGACCGGAGUGGACGCAUCACUGGUGUUCGGGUUGUCAUGCCAAUGGCACUGCCCGGUAGCUAAAUGCGGAAGAGAUAAGUGCUGAAAGCAUCUAAGCACGAAACUUGCCCCGAGAUGAGUUCUCCCUGAGACUUAGAGUCUCCUGAAGGAACGUUGAAGACGACGACGUUGAUAGGCCGGGUGUGUAAGCGCAGCGAUGCGUUGAGCUAACCGGUACUAAUGAACCGUGAGGCUUAACCUUACAACGCCGAAG